rnacentral:rRNA from 1 species
UUAAGCGACUAAGCGUACACGGUGGAUGCCCUGGCAGUCAGAGGCGAUGAAGGACGUGCUAAUCUGCGAAAAGCGCCGGCGAGGUGAUAUGAACCUUUGACCCGGCGAUGUCCGAAUGGGGAAACCCAGUGUGAUUCGUCACACUAUCGUUAACUGAAUACAUAGGUUAACGAGGCGAACCGGGGGAACUGAAACAUCUAAGUACCCCGAGGAAAAGAAAUCAACCGAGAUUCCCCCAGUAGCGGCGAGCGAACGGGGAGCAGCCCAGAGUCUGAAUCAGCUUGUGUGUUAGUGGAAGCGUCUGGAAAGUCGCACGGUACAGGGUGACAGUCCCGUACACGAAAACACACAGGUUGUGAACUCGAAGAGUAGGGCGGGACACGUGGUAUCCUGUCUGAAUAUGGGGGGACCAUCCUCCAAGGCUAAAUACUCCUGACUGACCGAUAGUGAACCAGUACCGUGAGGGAAAGGCGAAAAGAACCCCGGCGAGGGGAGUGAAAAAGAACCUGAAACCGUGUACGUACAAGCAGUGGGAGCACCUUCGUGGUGUGACUGCGUACCUUUUGUAUAAUGGGUCAGCGACUUAUAUUCUGUAGCAAGGUUAACCGUAUAGGGGAGCCGAAGGGAAACCGAGUCUUAACUGGGCGUUAAGUUGCAGGGUAUAGACCCGAAACCCGGUGAUCUAGCCAUGGGCAGGUUGAAGGUUGGGUAACACUAACUGGAGGACCGAACCGACUAAUGUUGAAAAAUUAGCGGAUGACUUGUGGCUGGGGGUGAAAGGCCAAUCAAACCGGGAGAUAGCUGGUUCUCCCCGAAAGCUAUUUAGGUAGCGCCUCGUGAACUCAUCUUCGGGGGUAGAGCACUGUUUCGGCUAGGGGGCCAUCCCGGCUUACCAACCCGAUGCAAACUACGAAUACCGAAGAAUGUUAUCACGGGAGACACACGGCGGGUGCUAACGUCCGUCGUGAAGAGGGAAACAACCCAGACCGCCAGCUAAGGUCCCAAAGUCAUGGUUAAGUGGGAAACGAUGUGGGAAGGCACAGACAGCCAGGAUGUUGGCUUAGAAGCAGCCAUCAUUUAAAGAAAGCGUAAUAGCUCACUGGUCGAGUCGGCCUGCGCGGAAGAUGUAACGGGGCUAAACCAUGCACCGAAGCUGCGGCAGCGACACUAUGUGUUGUUGGGUAGGGGAGCGUUCUGUAAGCCGUUGAAGGUGUGCUGUGAGGCAUGCUGGAGGUAUCAGAAGUGCGAAUGCUGACAUAAGUAACGAUAAAGCGGGUGAAAAGCCCGCUCGCCGGAAGACCAAGGGUUCCUGUCCAACGUUAAUCGGGGCAGGGUGAGUCGACCCCUAAGGCGAGGCCGAAAGGCGUAGUCGAUGGGAAACAGGUUAAUAUUCCUGUACUUGGUGUUACUGCGAAGGGGGGACGGAGAAGGCUAUGUUAGCCGGGCGACGGUUGUCCCGGUUUAAGCAUGUAGGCGGAGGUUCCAGGUAAAUCCGGUACCUUUUAACGCUGAGGUGUGAUGACGAGGCACUACGGUGCUGAAGUAACAAAUGCCCUGCUUCCAGGAAAAGCCUCUAAGCAUCAGGUAACAUCAAAUCGUACCCCAAACCGACACAGGUGGUCAGGUAGAGAAUACCAAGGCGCUUGAGAGAACUCGGGUGAAGGAACUAGGCAAAAUGGUGCCGUAACUUCGGGAGAAGGCACGCUGAUAUGUAGGUGAAGCCCCUGCGGGUGGAGCUGAAAUCAGUCGAAGAUACCAGCUGGCUGCAACUGUUUAUUAAAAACACAGCACUGUGCAAACACGAAAGUGGACGUAUACGGUGUGACGCCUGCCCGGUGCCGGAAGGUUAAUUGAUGGGGUUAGCGGUAACGCGAAGCUCUUGAUCGAAGCCCCGGUAAACGGCGGCCGUAACUAUAACGGUCCUAAGGUAGCGAAAUUCCUUGUCGGGUAAGUUCCGACCUGCACGAAUGGCGUAAUGAUGGCCAGGCUGUCUCCACCCGAGACUCAGUGAAAUUGAACUCGCUGUGAAGAUGCAGUGUACCCGCGGCAAGACGGAAAGACCCCGUGAACCUUUACUAUAGCUUGACACUGAACACUGGUCCUUGAUGUGUAGGAUAGGUGGGAGGCUUUGAAGCGUGGACGCCAGUCUGCGUGGAGCCGUCCUUGAAAUACCACCCUUUAAUGGCUGGUGUUCUAACGUAGACCCGUAAUCCGGGUUGCGGACAGUGUCUGGUGGGUAGUUUGACUGGGGCGGUCUCCUCCCAAAGAGUAACGGAGGAGCACGAAGGUUAGCUAAUCCUGGUCGGACAUCAGGAGGUUAGUGCAAUGGCAUAAGCUAGCUUGACUGCGAGAGUGACGGCUCGAGCAGGUGCGAAAGCAGGUCAUAGUGAUCCGGUGGUUCUGAAUGGAAGGGCCAUCGCUCAACGGAUAAAAGGUACUCCGGGGAUAACAGGCUGAUACCGCCCAAGAGUUCAUAUCGACGGCGGUGUUUGGCACCUCGAUGUCGGCUCAUCACAUCCUGGGGCUGAAGUAGGUCCCAAGGGUAUGGCUGUUCGCCAUUUAAAGUGGUACGCGAGCUGGGUUUAGAACGUCGUGAGACAGUUCGGUCCCUAUCUGCCGUGGGCGCUGGAGAAUUGAGGGGGGCUGCUCCUAGUACGAGAGGACCGGAGUGGACGCAUCACUGGUGUUCGGGUUGUCAUGCCAAUGGCACUGCCCGGUAGCUAAAUGCGGAAAAGAUAAGUGCUGAAAGCAUCUAAGCACGAAACUUGCCCCGAGAUGAGUUCUCCCUGAGACUUUAAGUCUCCUGAAGGAACGUUGAAGACGACGACGUUGAUAGGUCGGGUGUGUAAGCGCAGCGAUGCGUUGAGCUAACCGAUACUAAUGAACCGUGAGGCUUAACCUU